GCCUAGGGGCGCAGCAGUGAGGAAUAUUGGUCAAUGGCCGCAGGGCUGUACCAGCCAAGUCGCGUGAGGGAAGACGGCCCUACGGGUUGUAAACCUCUUUUGUCGGGGAGCAAAGAGAGUCACGUGUGACUCAUUGAGAGUACCCGAAGAAAAAGCAUCGGCUAACUCCGUGCCAGCAGCCGCGGUAAUACGGAGGAUGCGUGCGUUAUCCGGAUUUAUUGGGUUUAAAGGGUGCGCAGGCGGAGGUGCAAGUCAGCGGUCAAAUUGCGGGGCUCAACCCCGUACUGCCGUUGAAACUGCAUCCC
rnacentral:rRNA from 1 species